UGAGUAAUAGCUCAAUGGUAGAGCAUGUCCUUAGCAUACAUCUAGGUCCUGGGUUCAAUUCCCAGUACCUCUA
rnacentral:tRNA from 1 species